ACCAGACUCCUACGGGAGGCAGCAGUGGGGGAUAUUGCACAAUGGGGGGAACCCUGAUGCAGCGACGCCGCGUGGGUGAAGGAGUAUUUCGGUAUGUAAAGCCCUAUCGGCAGGGAAGAAGCAAGACGGUACCUGACUAAGAAGCCCCGGCUAACUACGUGCCAGCAGCCGCGGUAAUACGUAGGGGGCGAGCGUUAUCCGGAUUCACUGGGUGUAAAGGGAGCGUAGACGGCCAAGCAAGCCAGGGGUGAAAGCCCGGGGCCCAACCCCGGGACUGCCCUUGGAACUGCUUGGCUGGAGUGCGGGAGGGGCAGGCGGAAUUCCUGGUGUAGCGGUGAAAUGCGUAGAUAUCAGGAGGAACACCGGCGGCGAAGGCGGCCUGCUGGACCGCGACUGACGUUGAGGCUCGAAGGCGUGGGGAGCAAACAGGAUUAGAUACCCGAGUAUG
rnacentral:rRNA from 1 species